ACUACGGUUUUUUUAAAAACUACUCAAAGUUUGUUUACAAUCAACG
rfam:Acyrthosiphon pisum strain LSR1 Contig31864, whole genome shotgun sequence.